CUCUCUUCCUUUCUCUCUAAAAUGUUUUUAAAAGUUCGUUCAUGUAGUGUCGACAAUAACAGUGUUUUCUAUUUAAGUGAAAAAUAAAUGUUCCUGGUUCACAACAUCAACAGCACAGAAGGGUGGCUGUUCUCCAUCUUGGACGCUUCCCUGCAGAACCAAGCAUGUGUAUAUAGAUUCCAGCACAAAUGGGCUCAUCCUAGAAGGAUGCUUUGAAGGUUUGAGAAACACUAACCACUCAUGGGUGAGACCAGAAGGUGAAGCUCUUCCCAAUUAGAGCAUUACUUUUGGGGUCUUAAAGUUGCCUUGGCCAUGUGUGAAACCACUGCAUUUCCUGAAGCCAAAUCCUUGGAGGGUCUGAGAGCAGCUGACCUUGCCGGGAACCAGGCACACCCCAGCAGGGAGGGCUGAUGCAGAAAGGGAAGGGGCAGGGCUAUGAGGGUGGUCUGCAGCUAGAGGGGUUCCUGGAAGAGGCCAGGUGUGUGUGUGAGGCACGGCCCACGACCCCACCCACUCCUGUGCCAGGUGUUGGGGCGAGGAGGCGCCUCCUGGACCCCCUGCACUGGCAGGGUUGCCAGGCGGGAGGGCGAGUUGCCUGGCAUCCAAGGGGCUCUGGGCACCACCUUCCCCGACCAAUCACCGCUUGGGGGUGGAGCUACAUCUCUGCGGUCGGAGUUGCAGCAAGUUGCACACCUGGGGCAGAAGAAGGGGCGCUGGGAGAGAGAGUUGCCUUGUGGAGUUCCCCACUGAAACCGAAGCAGGUGUGCAGGCUUCAGGUCAGAGGCGCCUUCUUCUCCCCAGCUGACAGCACUUCUCUGCUCUGGCUCCACGAGACCCGAGGUUUUGAACAUCAGCAUCUGAGUCAGCGAGGCGGCUUGUCGCAGGACACCAGCAUUCAGAGAAAGCACAGGGACGUUUGACUUGAUGUCAUAUCUAUGUCAGGACUGGAGGUUCCAGCACAGCCCUGACCCAGAUCCUCUGUGGAGGCUUCUAGAGGACAUGGAGCGCUGUCCACACCCACAGAACACGGGUCUCCCCAGGACCCGCCACGGGAGGAGGAGGUGAGGAGAAACCGCCUGAGUGGGGACUGCCAAGGGCUUCAUGCUCACAGGACCCCGCGGAGGCAGGACGAGCUGUGUAGACGGUGGGGUUUCUGUGGUUUGUGUGCGGUACUGUGGGGCUGUGUGCGGGGCUGUGGGGUCUCCCCUCUCUGGGCUCGGAUCCGCUGGGCUGGUCCGCGGGUCCGUGUUUACGCACACAUGGAUCCGGUUCCUGGGGCUCCGCAGGCAGUCUGCAGUCAGGGAACCUCCGCCGCCCACCUGCUGCUCGUGCUCCCCGGGCCUCGGCCCCGCAGGGUCCUCCCCGCGUCCACACCCGGUCAGGGCUGUCGGUUCGGCAUCUGGAGGUUGGGUAGCGACGGCGCGCGCUCUGCAGACGGCUGUGGGGACAGCAGAUGUGCUCAGGGCGUCGGUUCUUCCCCGAGCGCAGAGUGUCUUCCGGUCUCCACGUGUCUCCCUCGCCGUCUGUCGUUGGUGUCUCACGGGUGUCUGAGAGCAGGGCUGUCCGUCUUCCUCGACGUCUGUCGGUGUCUCAUGGGUGUCCGUCUGUCGUUGGUGUCUCAGGGAUAUCCGAGAGCAGGGCUGUCCAUCUCCCUCUACAUCUGUCAUCAGUGUCUCCCGGGUGUCCGAGGACAGGGCUGUCCGUCUCCCUCGAUGUCUGUUGUCGGUGUCUCACGGGUGUCCGAGAGCAGGGCCGUCUGUCUCCCCUCGACGUCUGUCGUUGGUGUCUCACAGGUGUCCGAGGACAGCGCUGUCCGUCUCCCUCGCCGUCUGUCGUCGGUGUCUCACGGGUGUCCGUCUGUCGUUGGUGUCUCAGGGGUGUCUGAGAGCAGGGCUGUCCGUCUUCCUCAACGUCUGUCGUCAGUGUCUCACGGGUGUCCAUCUGUCGUUGGUGUCUCAGGGGUGUCCGAGAGCAGGGCUGUCCAUCUCCCUUGACAUCUGUCGUCAGUGUGUCCCGGGUGUCUGAGGACAGGGCUGUCCAUCUCCCUCGACAUC